UUGACACAUAAUAAAAAGAAAGCUCAUGCCCUGCAGAGCUGGUAGCGAGUGUAGAUUAGGCGAGUUCUAAAGAGAGAGCUGUGCAGGUUUUUUCAGGUCUUGUAGACUUGUUGCACCAGCACAAACAAACCUGCCAGAGCACUUUCUGAAAGGCAGCAUGCAAACAGGCAGGUCCAAACAAAAAGGCUGAAGCUUUAACCUACCUCAAAACCCUUGCGUGCUUCUAACAGGCCCUCCUGAUUCUGAACAGCCUCUCAGUUCUCCACAGAUGCAAGAACCACAGCUCACAGAAACACAGCAUCUCUCCUGACCAAGCCAACAGCAGGAACAUUAGCACGCACAAAGUGUUAUACAAGAACCAAGAAACACAAGAAGAUGCGGCUGAAACUGCCUCUUUCUUGCUCAUUCUUCAGUGCCAGAUCACAUCAGGAUAUAACGUACCUGAGGACUACUUGUUUGCAAACUGCUGGAAGACAGAGGCAUAAUCACGUAUUGGUGAUUAUGGCUGAUCAGGUGGUGACUCUAGAGCCUGAGUUGCUUAGAAAUGACACUGAUUCUUUCAUUAAAUGCCCUCACCUGACCAAGAGUGACUACGGUUGUAAAAGCCAGACAAGGGGGAAGAGAGGAAUGCUGUUGAAAUCUGAUUAGCAGAAAAGGCAAAGCUUUGUCAUUAACCCUAGUCCCUGGCUAUCUUUAUCAGAUACCCAAGCCCCUAAGCACAAAAUCCCUCCUGCUCCCUGGUCCUGCCCAUCGCAUCAAAGGGAAGUGCACCUCCAGAACAAGCAGCCCUGUUUCCCAUGCAUGUGGGACUUGGCCAUGCACCAGGUCACACACAGGAAGUCUUCCAAACUU